rnacentral:rRNA from 1 species
AGAGUUUGAUCCUGGCUCAGAAUCAACGCUGGCGGCGUGCCUAACACAUGCAAGUCGAACGAGAAAGUGGAGCAAUCCAUGAGUAAAGUGGCGCACGGGUGAGUAACACGUGACUAACCUACCCAGGAGUGGGGGAUAACUGAGGGAAACCUUAGCUAAUACCGCAUAACACCUACGGGUCAAAGGAGCAAUUCGCUUCUGGAGGGGGUCGCGGCCGAUUAGUUAGUUGGCAGGGUAAUGGCCUACCAAGACGAUGAUCGGUAUCCGGCCUGAGAGGGCGCACGGACACACUGGAACUGAAACACGGUCCAGACUCCUACGGGAGGCAGCAGUGGGGAAUUUUGCGCAAUGGGGGAAACCCUGACGCAGCAACGCCGCGUGGAGGAUGAAGUCCUUCGGGACGUAAACUCCUUUCGAUCGGGACGAUUAUGACGGUACCGGAAGAAGAAGCCCCGGCUAACUUCGUGCCAGCAGCCGCGGUAAUACGAGGGGGGCGAGCGUUGUUCGGAAUUAUUGGGCGUAAAGGGUGCGUAGGCGGUUUGGUAAGUCUGAUGUGAAAUCUAUGGGCUCAACUCAUAGUCUGCAUCGGAAACUGCCGGGCUUGAGUGUGGGAGAGGUGAGUGGAAUUCCUGGUGUAGCGGUGAAAUGCGUAGAUAUCAGGAGGAACACCUGUGGCGAAAGCGGCUCACUGGACCAUAACUGACGCUGAUGCACGAAAGCUAGGGGAGCAAACAGGAUUAGAUACCCUGGUAGUCCUAGCCCUAAACGAUGACUGCUUGGUGUGACGGGUACCCAAUCCCGCCGUGCCGUAGCUAACGCGUUAAGCAGUCCGCCUGGGGAGUACGUCGCAAGCUGAAACUCAAGGAUUGACGGGGCCCGCACAGCGGUGGAGCAUGUGGCUUAAUUCGACGCAACGCGAAGAACCUUACCUGGGCUCGAAAUGC